GACGAACCGUGCAAACGUUGUUCGGAAUCACUGGGCUUAAAGGGCGCGUAGGCGGGCCAGCCAGUCUGUGGUGAAAGCCUCCAGCUUAACUGGAGAAGUGCCGUGGAUACUGCUGGCCUCGAGGAGGAUAGGGGCAUCUGGAACGGUCGGUGGAGCGGUGAAAUGCGCAGAUAUCGGGAGGAACACCGGUGGCGAAGGCGGUUCUCUGGGCCGUAACUGACGCUGAGGAGCGAAAGCGUGGGGAGCGAACAGG
rnacentral:rRNA from 1 species